rnacentral:lncRNA from 1 species
AUAUAAUCAUAUUAAUUACAUUUUAAAACUUUUAAUUCUACUUUUAUAUUUUUUUUUUUAUUGACUGAAUUGGGGAUUGGACACAUACAAGGCCAUGGAAUAGUGUGGUGCUGAGCUGUGUCCCUGAAGAUGAGCUGUGCCCCUUUUUCCUACAGAAAUCACCAGGAACCAAUGAAUGAGCCCCAAAACAGCUGCCCCAGUGACUUUGGCAAAGAGGGAGGCUUUUGGCUCUGCAUUUAUAUUUGCAAUACCAGUCCAGUUCUUCAUCACUAAGGGGGCACAGGAUAAUGCUGCUAUCAGCUUCCUUACUUCAUCUCCAGUUCAUGCAACAGCUGCAUCUUUGAAAAGUGUCUGUAACAAAUGAUGGUAAGCAAUUUUUAUUUAAUUUCUGAAACAAAGCCAAAAUAUUUUAAGAUGAGUAAUAGAGUACAAGACAGUCUGACCUGAGUCCUAUUUUAUUAAUAUUUUUUGUAGUAGACACCUCAAAGAAAAGACGCUUCAUAAUGGUCUGUAGAGACCCUACAGAUUUUCUACAACCCAUGAUGUACAGAGGGCUGUCUGUUACCCAGUCCUGGGGCACAGCAUCAAGAAACACAGCAGUACUAUCAAUGUGAAAUUUCACCUAGUAGGAUUCUUAAGAAUUUCUCCUAGAAGACUUCAUGGGCACGUCUGUGCUCUGCAGCAAGGCAUGAAGCCUUGCGGACAGCAACAUCUUCUUCUUGUCUUGAUGGCAGGCCGUCAAAGGCCUGUACCAGGAACACAAGC